UGUGUUAAUCUUUCAAAAUUUCUGUGGGAUCCUGCUAUCUGAUGAGACAAAUUUUAGUAAUUACUGUUAUCUUUAAAAAGAUAAUUGGAACCCACAGGAAUUUAUUUAUAGGUGAUUUAAGUAUAACAAACUUUUCAUUUUAAAAAUCUGUGGCUCUUUUUUGUGAAUUGUUCUGAAGUGACCUCUCUCUCCCUUCAUGACUCACAGGUCACUGAAGAUCAUUUGAUUUGAAAUGUGUACCCCACCGAGUUGUCUGUCUUGGCAGAAAACAAAUUAAAGUAAACAAGAGUUAGCAAGUGUUCAGAACUGGACUUUAAUCUGUGGGGUGAUCCUCGGAUAUUUUUACCUUCCCCUGAGUUCUUUAUUGUGUAAGAAUGGAUUGUCUGGGGUACAACAGAGAACCAGCCAUGGGGCACCUAAAUAAGUGCUUU